rnacentral:rRNA from 1 species
AUUGAACGCUGGCGGCAUGCCUUACACAUGCAAGUCGAACGGCAGCAUGGAGAGCUUGCUCUCUGAUGGCGAGUGGCGAACGGGUGAGUAAUGCAUCGGAACGUACCGUGUAAUGGGGGAUAACGUAGCGAAAGUUACGCUAAUACCGCAUACGACCUGAGGGUGAAAGCAGGGGAUCGCAAGACCUUGCGUUAUACGAGCGGCCGAUGUCAGAUUAGCUAGUUGGUGAGGGAAGGGCUCACCAACGCGACGAUCUGUAGCGGGUCUGAGAGGAUGAUCCGCCACACUGGGACUGAGACACGGCCCAGACUCCUACGGAAGGCAGCAGUGGGGAAUUUUGGACAAUGGGGGCAACCCUGAUCCAGCCAUGCCGCGUGAGUGAAGAAGGCCUUCGGGUUGUAAAGCUCUUUCGGCCGGGAAGAAAUCGCACAGGCUAAUACUCUGUGUGGAUGACGGUACCGGCAUAAGAAGCACCGGCUAACUACGUGCCAGCCGCCGCAGUAA